rnacentral:rRNA from 1 species
GACGAACGCUGGCGGCGUGCCUAAUACAUGCAAGUCGAACGCUUCUUUCCUCCCGAGUGCUUGCACUCAAUUGGAAAGAGGAGUGGCGGACGGGUGAGUAACACGUGGGUAACCUACCCAUCAGAGGGGGAUAACACUUGGAAACAGGUGCUAAUACCGCAUAACAGUUUAUGCCGCAUGGCAUAGGAGUGAAAGGCGCUUUCGGGUGUCGCUGAUGGAUGGACCCGCGGUGCAUUAGCUAGUAGGUGAGGUAACGGCUCACCAAGGCCACGAUGCAUAGCCGACCUGAGAGGGUGAUCGGCCACACUGGGACUGAGACACGGCCCAGACUCCUACGGGAGGCAGCAGUAGGGAAUCUUCGGCAAUGGACGAAAGUCUGACCGAGCAACGCCGCGUGAGUGAAGAAGGUUUUCGGAUCGUAAAACUCUGUUGUUAGAGAAGAACAAGGACGUUAGUAACUGAACGUCCCCUGACGGUAUCUAACCAGAAAGCCACGGCUAACUACGUG